rnacentral:rRNA from 1 species
UACGGGGGGAGCAAGCGUUGUUCGGAUUUACUGGGCGUAAAGGGCGCGUAGGCGGUCGUGACAAGUCACUUGUGAAAUCUCCGGGCUUAACUCGGAACGGUCAAGUGAUACUGUCGGACUAGAGUACAGAAGGGGCAACUGGAAUUCUCGGUGUAGCGGUGAAAUGCGUAGAUAUCGAGAGGAACGCCUGCGGCGAAGGCGGGUUGCUGGGCUGAUACUGACGCUGAGGUG